rnacentral:misc_RNA from 1 species
ACAGCAGCAGUACAGAAAUGUAGGUCACGACAGUACAACAGCGGUGUGUAGCGAUUGGUAGUUACAGAACUUGUUUUCUCUCAGUCUUUAGAUUUUUCGCCCUAACUUAUGCUAUUAGUUUGGAUCAAAUAAAUUUUCGAUUUAAGACCCUCUGCAAAAGAAACCCACCAUGCGCGUUAAUCUUUUGCUCGUCUUCAGCGAAAACUUUUUUGCAACAGUUUGUGUCGUCUGCUAUGCUCUACUCUUGCCAUUUGCUGAGACAGCACAGAUCGACCCCAAGAGAUGCCUUGUUUGGGGACCUGGACUGAAAGUACAUGUCAAUCUACCUGUUCGCUACUUCUACAUUCAAAUAGUUGACACGUCAGGAAAUAACAUCACAGAAUCAAUUGGAGAAAAUCCUUUCAAAGUCAGCAUACAUCAACGUGAUGACCAGGAGAGAGUUCGCAUGCGUGUGGAUGUUCUGGACCGCCAUGAUGGUGUUUAUAUUGUCAGGCUAAGAAGUUACGCUUCUUCACUAGAUACAGAUAUCCACAUUUGGUACAAUGGACAAGCAGUGGGAAAAUCACCAUAUCACUUACCAGAUCCUCAUUAUUUGACUGCAUCUGAACAAGAUGCUUCAGGAACCAUCUACCAGGAACAGUGCUACUGCCCCUGUCCCAGCCUGUCUUUUUGGUAUGAACAGCUGGAAUGUCCAGACCAUUAUCAGCAGAUUGAAGAUGACCUAUCUCCAUUUUCCAACAUUGACAUGGAUGUUGUGGCUCAAGAGAUUGUGACACGCUUUAGUGACCAGGGGCGACAUAGCUUAUGCCAUUACAAGAUCAUCAAUAAUAAGGUAUAUCGGAAAACCUAUGGGACCAUAAUAGAUUUCAAGAUAUUUGUGGAUGCUAUUCUUCUCUCAUUGGUGCGAAAGGUGAAGCUGGCAGAUGUGGAGUUUUUUGUCAACUUAGGUGACUGGCCUUUGGAAACACGUCAUCCAAAAGAUGGAGGAGUACCUAUUCUUUCAUGGUGUGGCUCAGACUCCACUUAUGACAUUGUUUUGCCAACAUAUGACAUUACAGAAGCCACGCUGGAAAUGCUGGGGAGAGUGUCCCUGGAUAUGCUGUCAGUACAAGCUAACACAGGCCCCACAUGGGAAAACAAAUCAAACGUUGCCUUUUGGCGAGGUCGUGACAGUUGUCGAGAGCGGCUGCAACUGGUGGAAAUGAGUAGGAAACAUCCAGACAUGAUUGAUGCUGCCCUGACCAACAUGUUCUUUUUCCCUAAGGAUGAAAACAAAUAUGGACAAAUUGUCAAACCUGUGUCGUUCUUUGACUUUUUCAAGAGCAAGUAUCAGAUUAACAUCGAUGGCACAGUUGCAGCUUAUAGAUUCCCAUACUUGAUUGCUGGGGAUUCUGUUGUUCUCAAGCAGGAGUCUGAGUACUAUGAGCACUUUUACAAACGCUUGCUGCCAUGGAAACACUAUAUUCCAUUCAAAAGAGACCUCAGUGAUCUUCUGCAGAAAAUAAAGUGGGCACAAAGUCAUGAUAGAGAGGCUCGCCAGAUUGCCAUAAAUGCUCAAGAAUUUGCUCGAGAAAAUCUUAUGCCUCCAGAGGUUUUCUGUUACCAUGCUAAGGUGUUGGAGGCACUUUCACAACGAUUGAAACAUAAACCACAGGGAACAGAGGGCUUUGAGCACAUAGAGCAGCCAACUCAUAGUCUAGAAUCUCAGUGUGUGUGUGAUAGAUCUGUACAGGACCAGUAUUUUAAGCUGCAAGGAAAAGAUGCAAAACAGGAACUUUGAAGAGAUCAUGAUGUGAUGGUCAUAUUUGCCUGCCUGCUAGGAUAUCAUACUGGGCUAUUAUGUUUGCUUAUACAGGAUCUAGUUUUAUUUUUUAUGCAAGACAUCUAGAAUUGGAAAUUUUACAGGAAAAAGUGUCACAUGGAUGAACUUUUUUGCCACUGUCAAAAAUGGUGUUCACUGCUAUUCUCUAUUUCUUUAAAAUUUUAAUUUCAUGUACAUAUUUGGAACAAACUGCUGAUGGUAGCUAUUGUUGAUGAUGCAAGAAACAUUGCAUGUGUCUUUGAAAUUCAAAGUAUAUUUUCACAAGCCUGUUGCUUCUUCCUCAAAAAGAAAUUAAGUUAAAACUAAAGCACAAAUUUCACAUGUACAUGCAUAAAUCUGGAUCUAAAAUACUAUGAUGCAUGAUUGCAUGAUGUGCUGUAUUGAAAGUAUCCAUUUUAGACCUCAAAAGCAAUGUGUAGAGAAACAUGCUUAUACAUUGCACAUCACGGUUUUACGUUGACUGCCUUCACUACGCAUAAUUAUAAACCAUAGCAUAGCUAUGCACCUCACAUAUAAGAGUACCUGAAUUUCUAAUGGAUAUAUAUAUAAAGUAUCUGCAAAUGAUGCGUACCCACUCUCAUUCAAGGUGUUGACUUGUUUACUGUUUUCUUUGGCAUGGUUUACCCUUAAUGCUGGUUUUUUUGUUAACAUAUUUCUUUGUUGCAAAUGAUGCAAUUUAUAUUCUUGAUAAGCUUGAUAUAACAUUUCUGAUAUAUUUAUUGACGUUGUAACACUAACAGGGCCCUGGCAACUUUGAUAAACGAUCAGUAUAUUGUUUUGUAAUGCCUAUAUGCCAUACAACUUGUGCCUUCAUUGUCUAUGUAGGUAUGAACAUAAUUCCUGGCAAUAUUGUGACAUUUUCAGUCUGUUUGGAUGCAAAGAUCUGUGUUUUUCAGUAAGUUAAUGUAAUAUGAAAUUUUCAGGGAGUUAAAGCAGAUGAAACACAUAUGUAGCUGCUGACUGUUCUUCCCAUUUUCAGUAUUGCUGUGAUAAUGCAUGUUGAAGCAUAAUUUAGGAUCUGAUCACGAACUAAUAUCCCUGGACUGCUGGCAGACGAUUUUCUUCCAGUUAACUGCUAAAACGGGGCAUGAUACAAGAAAGCUUCCGGUUUAUUCACAUUCUUUGUUACGGUUUGCCGAGACUAACAGCGGAUCACAAGAGGCUAAGCAUUGGUCUUGGCACACAGACAGCAAUCCACCUAUACACAUCCUUGACCUGAUGGAACACUGAUGAUUUGCCUUAAGUCUUUUGUACACAAGUAUCGUUUUCCUAUAUCAUCAGUACUCGGUAUAUUUUUAACAAAACUCUGGUACAUUGCUUUAAUACUCUGGGAUUGUAUUCAUGAAAUUUUACAGAGCUGGGUAAACUGGCUACCUGUAGGUGAACCCCCAAAAUAACUCCUUUUUGUUUAAUUAUGAUAUGAGCAUAAUGCCAGUCAAUUUACUUUAUGAUUACCUAAAUAUGUAAAUAUAUAAAAUCCACGUUCACUAGGUGCUGUAAUGGAAGUAUGCAAAAAUGAUUAUGGGUUUAAGCCACAACCCGAUGAUUGUUGUAACCUAUGUGAAAUACUUACUUUUGGCGUAUUUUUUCUGUUGAAUACUUAAGUUACAAAUAAAUAACCUUUUAAAAUGG